rnacentral:lncRNA from 1 species
AACCAGAAUUUAUAGAAAGAUUAAGAGAUUCCCUAGGUGUGGCUAAAAGUGCAUUAUCGUCUUGAUUAAAAGAUAGGACCUCAGCUAUAGAAAAGGGUUGGUUUUGACCUAUUGCAAUCAACUCCGGACACAGAUCAUAAUUAGGGGCAGGACGUGUUGACUCCCAUGGUCUAUGGCUGGUCUCCGAAGGUGCAAAGAGUUUAAUAAUAGGUAUGGAAUUUGAGUUAUCCAUAAAGAUAAAAAUAAAAAGAUAAAACAAUAAAAGUAUAAAAGUAUAAUUCAAGAUAAUAGCA